rnacentral:rRNA from 1 species
CAUUGUGCUUGCACAGAUGACGACCGGCGCACGGGUGCGUAACGCGUAUAGAACCUACCUUUUACAGAGGAAUAGCCUUUAGAAAUGAAGAUUAAUGCCUCAUAGUAUUGUAGACUGGCAUCAGUUUAUAAUUAAAGAUUUAUCGGUAAAAGAUGGCUAUGCGUCCUAUUAGUUAGUUGGUAAGGUAACGGCUUACCAAGACAGCGAUAGGUAGGGGUCCUGAGAGGGAGAUCCCCCACACUGGUACUGAGACACGGACCAGACUCCUACGGGAGGCAGCAGUGAGGAAUAUUGGACAAUGGAGGAGACUCUGAUCCAGCCAUGCCGCGUGUAGGAAGAAUGCCCUAUGGGUUGUAAACUACUUUUAUACAGGAAGAAACACUGGUAUGUAUACCAGCUUGACGGUACUGUAAGAAUAAGGACCGGCUAACUCCGUGCCAGCAGCCGCGGUAAUACGGAGGGUCCGAGCGUUAUCCGGAA